rnacentral:rRNA from 1 species
CCUGGCUCAGAUUGAACGCUGGCGGCAUGCUUUACACAUGCAAGUCGAACGGCAGCGGGGCUUCGGCCUGCCGGCGAGUGGCGAACGGGUGAGUAAUGCAUCGGAACGUGCCCAUGUCGUGGGGGAUAACGUAGCGAAAGCUACGCUAAUACCGCAUACGCCCUGAGGGGGAAAGCGGGGGAUUCUUCGGAACCUCGCGCGAUUGGAGCGGCCGAUGUCGGAUUAGCUAGUAGGUGAGGUAAAGGCUCACCUAGGCGACGAUCCGUAGCGGGUCUGAGAGGAUGAUCCGCCACACUGGGGACUGAGACACGGCCCAGACUCCUACGGGAGGCAGCAGUGGGGAAUUUUGGACAAUGGGCGCAAGCCUGAUCCAGCCAUGCCGCGUGAGUGAAGAAGGCCU